UACGUAGGGUGCGAGCGUUAAUCGGAAUUACUGGGCGUAAAGCGUGCGCAGGCGGUUAUGUAAGACAGUUGUGAAAUCCCCGGGCUCAACCUGGGAACUGCAUCUGUGACUGCAUAGCUAGAGUACGGUAGAGGGGGAUGGAAUUCCGCGUGUAGCAGUGAAAUGCGUAGAUAUGCGGAGGAACACCGAUGGCGAAGGCAAUCCCCUGGACCUGUACUGACGCUCAUGCACGAAAGCGUGGGGAGCAACAGG
rnacentral:rRNA from 1 species